rnacentral:misc_RNA from 1 species
AACGCACGAGACCUGCGGACCUGCGGAGGGAUCAUUAUUGAAAAAAAAAAAAAGUUGGAAGUUUUUGUUGCUGGUCUUUUUUAAAAAUAAAAAGGGCAAUUAUGUGCACACUUCUUCUUUUUUAAAUAUCUUCUCCUGUGCAUAUUUUGUAAAUUUGAAAGAUCUUAUUUAAGAAUUGCUGAAAUGUGUAUUUUUUCAGCUUUUCUUUAGUCUUUUUUAUCUUUCAAAUUUAUGUUUAUU